ACAUGCAAGUCGAGCGGUAGCACAGGGGAGCUUGCUCCCUGGGUGACGAGCGGCGGACGGGUGAGUAAUGUCUGGGAAACUGCCUGAUGGAGGGGGAUAACUACUGGAAACGGUAGCUAAUACCGCAUAACGUCGCAAGACCAAAGAGGGGGACCUUCGGGCCUCUUGCCAUCAGAUGUGCCCAGAUGGGAUUAGCUAGUAGGUGGGGUAAUGGCUCACCUAGGCGACGAUCCCUAGCUGGUCUGAGAGGAUGACCAGCCACACUGGAACUGAGACACGGUCCAGACUCCUACGGGAGGCAGCAGUGGGGAAUAUUGCACAAUGGGCGCAAGCCUGAUGCAGCCAUGCCGCGUGUGUGAAGAAGGCCUUCGGGUUGUAAAGCACUUUCAGCGAGGAGGAAGGUGGUGAGCUUAAUACGCUCAU
rnacentral:rRNA from 1 species